UCCUACGGGACGCAGCAGUGAGGAAUAUUGGUCAAUGGACGCAAGUCUGAACCAGCCAUGCCGCGUGCAGGAUGACGGCUCUAUGAGUUGUAAACUGCUUUUGUCAGGGAGCAAGAACGGAUACGUGUAUCCGAGCGAGAGUACCUGAAGAAAAAGCAUCGGCUAACUCCGUGCCAGCAGCCGCGGUAAUACGGAGGAUGCGAGCGUUAUCCGGAUUUAUUGGGUUUAAAGGGUGCGUAGGCGGGCUGCCAAGUCAGCGGUAAAAAUUCGGGGCUCAACCCCGUCCGGCCGUUGAAACUGGGGGC
rnacentral:rRNA from 1 species